UACAGAGGUCUCAAGCGUUGUUCGGAUUCAUUGGGCGUAAAGGUGUGUAGGUGGCGCCGUAAGUCGGGUGUGAAAUUUCGGAGCUUAACUCCGAAACUGCAUUCGAUACUGCCGUGCUUGAGGACUGGAGAGGAGACUGGAAUUCAUGGUGUAGCAGUGAAAUGCGUAGAGAUCAUGAGGAAGACCAGUGGCGAAGGCGGGUCUCUGGACAGUUCCUGACACUGAGGCACGAAGGCCAGGGGAGCAAACGGG
rnacentral:rRNA from 1 species